GCCAUGCAGAGAGGCAGAAAAACCCAGCAACCAGCCCAAGAACCGCAAGCCAGGGAUCCUGCCAGCGGAUUCCUACCGGCCCAUCCUGAUGUCCUCACUGAACGCGGAUGGAUCACCAGGCUACAUCAACGCCGUCUUUGUCGACACCUACACAGACGAGGACAGACUCAUUAUCACCCAGCUGCCUUUCGCCACCACGACAGUGGAUUUCUGGGCUCUGGUGUGGGAUUACAC